rnacentral:rRNA from 1 species
UACGAAGGGUGCAAGCGUUACUCGGAUUUACUGGCGUAAAGGGCGCGUAGGCGGUCAGCACAAGUCAGUUGUGAAAUCUCCGGGCUUAACUCGGAAAGGUCAACUGAUACUGUGCGACUAGAGUGCGGAAGGGGCAACUGGAAUUCUCGGUGUAGCGGUGAAAUGCGUAGAUAUCGAGAGGAACACCUGCGGCGAAGGCGGGUUGCUGGGCCGACACUGACGCUGAGGCGCGAAAGCCAGGGGAGCGAACGGG